rnacentral:rRNA from 1 species
GACGAACGCUAGCGGCAGGCCUAAUACAUGCAAGCCGAACGGCAAGAUUGAUAGCAAUAUUGAUCCUAGAGUGGCGUAAGGGUGCGUAACACGUAUGCAAUCUACCCUCAACAGGAGGAUAGCUCCCCGAAAGGGGAAUUAAGACUCCAUAAGAUCAUUUGGUGGCAUCAUUGAAUGAUUAAACUUCCAGGGGUUGAGGAUGAGCAUGCGCCUGAUUAGUUAGUUGGCGGGGUAAGGGCCCACCAAGACGAUGAUCAGUAGGGGAACUGAGAGGUUGAUCCCCCACACUGGCACUGAGA